CAGUAGCCGCGGUAAUACGGAGGGUGCAAGCGUUAAUCGGAAUUACUGGGCGUAAAGCGCACGCAGGCGGUCUGACAAGUCAGAUGUGAAAUCCCCGGGCUUAACCUGGGAACUGCAUUUGAAACUGUCAGGCUGGAGUCUUGUAGAGGGGGGUAGAAUUCCAGGUGUAGCGGUGAAAUGCGUAGAGAUCUGGAGGAAUACCGGUGGCGAAAGCGGCCCCCUGGACAAAGACUGACGCUCAGGUGCGAAAGCGUGGGGAGCAAACAGGAUUAGAUACCCCUGUAGUCCCUGUCUCUUAUAA
rnacentral:rRNA from 1 species